GCCGCCCUCACCAGCGUCAUCUCUGCGCUUCUCAUCGUCCUUCCCCUUUCAAUUCAAUCGAGUAACCCUCAUCUCUGCGCUAUAUACUGAGCUUAAUGAAUAUUUUUUCUUUGAUUCGUCACCAAUUCACGCUACCUGUACAAACUCGCGCGCCUUCUCCUUCGAUUCGUCGCCGCUGCUCAUCUCUUCUUCAAGGGUUUUCACCUUCGAUUCGUCGUCGCUCAUCUCUUGUUCACCGUUGCCAUUCAUCACCGCGCUCACCAAUGUCAAAGAAACUGUAUGCUCUCUAGCAACCUCUUCUCUGCUCUACUGUGAAGCAUCAAGGUUUCCAAUGAGGCAAAGCAUCGAUCCCUAACAAGCGAGGUAAGCGCCCGAUGAUGAUGAUGGUUCUGUGAAAUUUGGGAG